AGAGUUUAUGCCAAUUACAUGACCAAACUUUAGGUCCAGUAAUUGGUAAAAAUGCUAUUCUUGCCAAAUGUGAGGAAAAUAUGUCGACAACAAGAUCAUCUACUAAUUUAUUCUAAUUACUUUAAGUAAUCUAUUUAGUGGGGAUUGUUACUUAACUUGUCAUUUUGUUUGACCUAUAAAUCCAAUACCACAUCACUGCAUCUCAGUACAGCUUUUAUCGAUGUUUUUGGUUAAUAUCUUUAGAUUCUUAUAGGAGCAUGAGUAAGAUUUAUACUGUUAGCUCUGUUCUAUAUGAUGUAAGGACGAAAAUUAUCAUUACUGUAGUUUUCCACAAACAAAGAUCAGAUGACUACUCAUAGGAAGAACGGAGACACUUUAGAUAAAAUUAAAAGUAAAAUGUUUUGGAUUACAUUGAAAUUGUUUCUAAUGUAAAGGUUUUUGGUGCUUCUAUCUCACGUAAUAUUUGCAUGGUGCAAAAAUAUCUUUAAGUCCUUUUGUUACAUGCUUUCUUUUAACAAGUAAAAUCAUUGAACUUCAUGGUGACACUUGAAUCGGGGACAAGGAUGGAUAUAGGGUUGCUAGAUUAUCUAAAUUCCUCAUCCUUUAUUUGGUUUAAAUUUUGUUAUCUGAGGAUUAGUAAAGAUGGACCACCUUCUAACACUUCCAAAUUAAGAUAAAAUGUAUAGACAAACAAAAUUGUGGCCUAAAGAUUUUAGUUACAUAGUCGUGAUGAUUCAAUGCUUUGAAAAAUUUCAGGGGGAUCCGACCUACCUUCUUGUAGAGAAUGACAGAACACAGUGUUGUGCCAUGAAAUGCUGCUGAGAUCAAGAUCAUCUGCCCGUGACACGGAUCAAAAUACAACAACCGAGGAAGGGUCGUUAGAGGACCGGCUCCGUUGGUAAGUUCGACAAACUUAUUGCCAAAAAACCAUUUGAUCGUACUAUGCAAUAGUUCUCUUAUCCUGCGAUAUACUAGAUGUGCAUGUCUAAGCAAGGAUAUUAUUAGAAUUCUGCUUGAUUCUCACCGUUUUUUUUUGGUAGAAAUUUCUCCGUACAAAUGUACUGGAACAGUCAUUGGCCUUGCCUCAUACUGAUGUUGAUGAUGGGAAGGUUGUGUUCGUCCCACGGGUUGAAACAGAUUUCAGAACUGAUGAAUCUCCAUGGUGGGCUUAAUUACAUUGAAUUUGCUUCCUUCUUGUAUGAAUUUGUCCAUCUGUCAAGGAAAACCUUGAUUUACAAUUUAUUGACUUGAUUCAAAACUGAUUGGAUGACUGGUCCACGUGACAUCAAAUUGACAAUUUCAAUUUGAUGAUUUUUCCUUACCGUCCUAGUUGGGGUUCUCAAAUUUGUGAAGUAAGGCGUUCAUUUGUCAAAAAUACUGCACAAAUUAUAGAUUUAAGCGCAUUGCAAUAUUCGGGUCAAUGAACUUCAAUACAAGUGCCAAUGUAGAAUCGAG
rnacentral:lncRNA from 1 species